rnacentral:rRNA from 1 species
AUUGAACGCUGGCGGCAUGCCUUACACAUGCAAGUCGAACGGCAGCACGGGAGCAAUCCUGGUGGCGAGUGGCGAACGGGUGAGUAAUAUAUCGGAACGUGCCCAGUCGUGGGGGAUAACGUAGCGAAAGCUACGCUAAUACCGCAUACGAUCUAUGGAUGAAAGCGGGGGAUCGCAAGACCUCGCGCGAUUGGAGCGGCCGAUAUCAGAUUAGGUAGUUGGUGAGGUAAAGGCUCACCAAGCCGACGAUCUGUAGCUGGUCUGAGAGGACGACCAGCCACACUGGGACUGAGACACGGCCCAGACUCCUACGGAGGCAGCAGUGGGGAAUUUUUGGACAAUGGGCGCAAGCCUGAUCCAGCAAUGCCGCGUGCAGGAUGAAGGCCU